rnacentral:rRNA from 1 species
UACGUAGGGUGCGAGCGUUGUCCGGAAUUAUUGGGCGUAAAGGGCUCGUAGGCGGUUUGUCACGUCGGGAGUGAAAACUCGGGGCUCAACCCCGAGCCUGCUUCCGAUACGGGCAGACUAGAGGUAUGCAGGGGAGAAUGGAAUUCCUGGUGUAGCGGUGAAAUGCGCAGAUAUCGGGAGGAACACCAGUGGCGAAGGCGAGUCCCUGGACACUUCCUGACACUGAGGCACGAAAGCUAGGGGAGCAAACAGG